rnacentral:snoRNA from 1 species
CCUCCUUUUUUUGGCAGUGACCAGGUGUGUGAUCCUACUUUCCAUUAUGUACCAAGGCAGAAGGAAAGGUCUUCUGCCCUUUUAGCAUCAUAUAUUUGGUACCAGUGGCUUCCUGUUCACUAGUUCUUCCUGUUCCCCAG